ACACAUAAUAAGAAUAAUGAUAAGCAGCAAAUGAAGAACAAUAAAAAUAACAACAAACAUAAUAAUAUUGAUAGAAAAGCUAGUGCAAAAAAAAUAAUAGGAAAAGUAAUAAUACUAAGAAAAUAUAAUAAAAGUAAAAAAAUAAUAAAAAUUGAAAUAGUAGGAAAACAAAAUAAGGAAUAAAAAAUAAAUAAAGAAAAAGGGUAAAUGGGGAGAACCGAUAGAGGAACGGUGACCGGAGUGACUAGGAGUUGAUGGGCACGGCGGUUGGUGCAAGGAACGGAGGGGGUGUUGCGUGGGGUGGUGGCUGUUCAGUAAGGGGUGGCUUGGGGUUGUUUUGUCAAAGGAGAAAGGGAGAGGGGAUUAGGUGGGAAAGAAAGAGUGGGUAAGGGAAAAGGGCGUGGGGACUGAAGACGAUGGGGAGAGGUUGGUUGCGGUGGUUCGACGAGGGGGAAGGGUGGUUUGUUCGUGCGAAGGUGGUGGACGAUAGAAACGGGGAAGGGAAAAAGGAAGGGAAGAGGGAAAAAGGAAAGGGAUGGGGUGAAUUGUGAGAAAAAGGGGCGUUCGGAGGUGGGUGCAGGGGUGAGGUGAGGUGGCCGGUCUGGUGAGGAGAGGGUUCGACAGCAGUUAGGGUUGUGGGGGUGGGAAAAAUUUGGGGAAGAAGGAGACAAAACAAGAGUUUU
rnacentral:lncRNA from 1 species